UACUAGGAGAGAGCGGUACCCCUACACAGAACUGAACUGGAUCAAAGAUGGCGGACAGAAAUACUAGGAGAGAGGGGUACCCCUACACAGAAUUGAACUGGAUCAAAGAUGGCGGACAGAAAUACUAGGAGAGAGGGGUACACCUACACAGAACUGAAUUGGAUCAAAGAUGGCGGACGGAAAUACUAGUAGAGAGGGGUACCCCUACACAGAACUGAACUGGAUCAAAGAUGGCGGACAGAAAUACUAGGAGAGAGGGGUACCCCUACACAGAACUGAACUGGAUCAAAGAUGGCAGACAGAAAUACUAGGAGAGAGGGGUACACCUACACAGAACUGAACUGGAUCAAAGAUAGAGGACAGAAAUAAUAGGAUGGAAGCAAAUGUAAGGGAUUUUAACGUCAUAAGGAAUAGUCACUCUGUGUACUACAAAUCCUGUGUAUGCGACUGUAUUGGCUGAUGGGGAGGAUCUUUUUUAGGGGUGUCGGGUGGAAGCUGUCUCCGUGUAACAGGGACUUCCUGUCCGUCUGCUUCCUGUUUCAGUUUGUGCUAAAGCCACCCCCCCUCUUUAAUCAAAAUGUCCAGAUAACUUGUUUCAUGCGCAUCACAGGUGAGGGUGAAUUUCAGAUGUUCACUGCUUGUAUUGAUGAAGGAGUGGAAUCGAUGAAGUUCCUCUGCUGUGCCCUGGAAUAGAAGGAACACGUCAUCAAUGAUGCCUUUUACAGAGCCUGAUGAGCCUUCCUCUCCUCUGAAGACCCAGUGAGGGUGGAGCUCAGUCAGAGAGCUGUUGAGGGACUGGUUAGGAGGAACACUUCUCCAGCCAGAGAGGGGCAGUCAAGAAAUGGAACGACAAGGCCACAGAGCUGUGGGAGACCACCUCAAGCCCCUGGUAGAGCCGGGGGUGGUGUUAACAACUCCACCACGCCUUCAGCAGGCUGGAAAAGUGAGAUUGAUACUGAUUUACAUACUAAGAGGGACCAAGAGUCUGUUGAUUGGUCAGUCAUUGGGUUAAUUUGUUGAAAUCAAAUCAAGCUUUAUUUAUACAGCACAUUUCAGACAUGGAUGCAACACAAUGGCUUCACAGGAAAACAAAAUGAAAAUAAACAGAAAUAUUUACAACACAACGAACAGAAUAACAACAACUGAAAGACUAAUGGGCACCCUAAGGAAAUGCCAUUGAUUAAAAUAUUAAUUGAAUGCAAUAUCCAACCCAAAAUAUAAGCUUGUUCUUUUUAGGAGGUCACUCAAACAGAAGAGGGAACUAACAACAACAAACAAAACACGUGGGGUUUUAGGAGGGGCUCUGAAAGACACUAUGGGGGUGUCCACUGAAAGUGGACUAGUGACAACAACUGGGACCUAAAAGACACCCACCAUGAGAGCCUCUAAAUCUGCCCAAGAAGAGGCAAACAAAAGUACAUUUGGCUUCUCUCUCUUUUCAGGGUUCACUCGACAGGCAUGUUGUUGGAUCUGGGCCCAGUCCCCAAUGUCACCCCUUUGUUAAUAUGUAUUGGCAAUAAUUAACUUAAUGGUGAGGCAUGGAAUAAUAAAACAUGUAUAUUUUGUCAGGCUGGAUGUUUGAAAUGUGAGUAGGUGAUUUGAGGUAUGCUUCUUCAGUAGUGGAAUAAAGACAAUUAGCACUUGAAUGUUGUGAAGAAAUACUGUAGUGAUGUAGGAUUGUUAAUACAAUUGAUUAUAUACAAAUCGAUUAUACUGCGUCCAUGUGUAUAUAUAUAAUUUGUUUACCUAUGCAUGUCAGUUAAGAACAAAUUCUUAUUUACAAUGACGGCCUACCGGGGAACAGAGGGUUAACUGACUUGUUCAGGGCCAGAACGACAUAUUUGUACCUUGUCAGCUCAGGGAUUCGAUCCAGCAACCUUUCGAUUACUGGCCCAACGCUCUAACCGCCAGGCUACAUGAAGGUACGUUGGAAUUAAGUCGUUUUCAAGUAAUUUAAAAAACAACUCGAAAAAUACAGAUUUUAAACUUUCACUUUCAACUACAAGCAAAGUAAUAUUGGACGCUGGACAUAGUCUUCUUUUCAAUUGCGAGGUGUCCCAAUGUCAAAACACAGUUUAACGUGUCCAAAUCAAUAACCAAUAUGCAGAAACAGUUUGUGAUUAAUUGAAAACCUAAACAUAAAAUGUACUACAUACACAAACAUCUGACACAAUAAUAUUACUUGUAUUUUUUAAAACAAGCACCUUAUAAACGGCACAAGCACCAAAAACGCUAUGUUUUCACAAGUAGCAAUAAAUCACUGAUAUCGAUUGGGGGGGGAAAUCAGGUUGUACGUGCUGUUGAAACUAAAAAAACACAUGGACAUGGGAGAUAUCUUUUAUCUCACUGGUUAGAGGACAACCUGCAGAAGACAGUCUGGAUUUUGGAGUGAUGCAUUUAAAUGUAGGGGUCGCUAAACAAAGGAACGCAACACUUAUUUGUCAUCACUCAUCAAUAUCAUGUAGAAAUCAAUUGUGCUGAGAGGAGAGAGAGGAGGUUGCACGUCCUGUUAAAACUAACAGCUCAAAAACCAUACGGAAUCUCGAAAUAAUGUGUACAUCACUGGUUAGAGGAUCAUUUGUAGAAAACAGCUAGCUACAUUUUGAAGUGUUGGAUUUCUAUUCCAGUGGGUCACCAACGUGGUAAGUGUAACACAACUCUUUUUUUUGUUAGUCACUUUUUGUUAAAGAUUUUCACCCUGGGGCUAAUAUCCAUAUCAUGCUGAAAUCAAUUGAUAAGGGGGCAAACGUUUAGGCUUCUACAUUGUGACAUUAUUAAAAUACUCCUAC